rnacentral:sRNA from 1 species
AGUAGUGAUAAGUGUGCAUUUUACAUGUUUUGAGCAUCCAUUUGUAUUCACUUUAGCAUCAUAUCACCACUGUUUUAUACCAUUUCUCAUCAUUUGUCAUCACAUUGCAUGGUUAAGAUAGUUUUGCAUCCAUGUUCCAUAUUUGCGUU